rnacentral:tRNA from 2 species
GUGAGAUUGGCAGAGUGGUCGAUUGCGGGGGACUGUAAAUCCCUUCUGAAAGGCGCGGUGGUUCGAAUCCAUCAUCUCACACCA